rnacentral:rRNA from 1 species
GAUGAACGCUGGCGGCGUGCCUAAUACAUGCAAGUCGAGCGAACAGACGAGGAGCUUGCUCCUCUGACGUUAGCGGCGGACGGGUGAGUAACACGUGGAUAACCUACCUAUAAGACUGGGAUAACUUCGGGAAACCGGAGCUAAUACCGGAUAAUAUAUUGAACCGCAUGGUUCAAUAGUGAAAGACGGUUUUGCUGUCACUUAUAGAUGGAUCCGCGCCGCAUUAGCUGGUUGGUAAGGUAACGGCUUACCAAGGCAACGAUGCGUAGCCGACCUGAGAGGGUGAUCGGCCACACUGGAAGUGAGACGCGGUCCAGACUCCUACGGGAGGCAGCAGUAGGGAAUCUUCCGCAAUGGGCGAAAGCUUGACGGAGCAACGCCGCGUGAGUGAUGAAGGUCUUCGGAUCGUAAAACUCUGUUAUUAGGGAAGAACAAAUGUGUAAGUAACUAUGCACGUCUUGACGGUACCUAAUCAGAAAGCCACGGCUAACUACGUG